rnacentral:misc_RNA from 1 species
GGAGCUUGCUUCUUUGAAGGUUUUUUCCCCCUAUUAACUUGUUUGUUUUCUAACGUCGGUACUAUCUUCUGUUAAACUUGGAAUUAUUUUUCUGUGUUCUCAACCGUCUUUAAUUAGCAGUUAUAUUUGCAUGCUUUAGAGACUUCUUUAUUGAGAAUUCCCUCUAUCCAUAAUAUCAUGUUGUUUGAAACUUUUAAGGUUGAGGAUGCUAUUGUGCUU